CGCGGCCUAUCAGCUUGUUGGUGGGGUAACGGCCCACCAAGGCGACGACGGGUAGCUGGUCUGAGAGGACGGCCAGCCACACUGGGACUGAAACACGGCCCAGACUCUUACGGGAGGCAGCAGUGGGGAAUAUUGCGCUAAUGCGCGAAAGCGUGACGCAGCGACGCCGCGUGGGGGAUGAAGGCCCUCGGGUCGUAAACCCCUUUCGCCGGGGACGAAGCGAAAGUGUCGGUACCCGGAGAAGAAGUCCCGUCUAACUACGUGCCAGCAGCCGCGGUAACACGUAGGGGACGAGCGUUGUCCGGAUUCAUUGGGCGCAAAGCGCGCGUAGGCGACCUGGAAAGUCGGCUGUGAAACCCCAGGGCUCAACCCUGGGACCGCGUCCGAAACUUCCGGGCUGGAGGCAGGUAGGGGAGAUCGGAAUUCCUGGUGUAGCGGUGAAAUGCGCAGAUAUCAGGAGGAACACCGGUGGCGAAGGCGGAUCUCUGGGCCUUGCCUGACGGUGAGGCGUGAAAGCUAGGGGAGCGAACAGGAUUAGAUACCCUGGUAGUCCUAGCCGUAAACGUUGGGUGCUAGGUGUGGGCGGAUAUCGACCCCAUCCGUGCCGAAGCUAACGCAUUAAGCACCCCGCCUGGGGAGUACGG
rnacentral:rRNA from 1 species